rnacentral:rRNA from 1 species
UAAGCGAAAUGUGAAAUCUUGUGGCUCAACCAUAAGACUAUGUUUUGAACUACUCAGCUAGAAGAUGAGAGAGGUACCUGGAAUUGCUAGUGUAGGAGUGAAAUCCGUAGAUAUUAGCAGGAACACCGAUGGCGUAGGCAGGGUACUGGCUCAUUCUUGACACUAAGGCACGAAAGCGUGGGUAGCAAACGGGAUUAGAUACCCCGGUAGUCCACGCCGUAAACUAUGCUUGCUA